CUACAAGUUUUAGAUGUUUUAUAACAGUAUAAAAUGUUCUCAAGAUGUUUUAGAUGGUUAUAACAGUAUAAAGGUUCUCUCAGUGUUUUAAGAUGUUUAUAACAGUAUAAGUUCUCACAGAUGUUUAGAUUGUUAUAACAGUAAUAAUGUUCUCACAGAUGUUUUUAGAUGUUAGGAGGUUGUCUUUAGGGAGAGUUUUUUAGGUUUUAUACAGUAUAAAGGUUCUCUUCAAGAUGUUUUAGAUGUUUAUACAGUAUAAGGUUCUCACAGAUGUUUUAGAUGUUUAUAACAGUAUAAAGGUUCUCACAGAUGUUUUAGAUGUUUAUAACAGUAAUAAAGGUUUCACAGAUGUUUUAAGAUGUUAUAACAGUAUAAGGUUCUCUCAGAUGUUUUUAGAUGUUUAUACAGGCUAUAAGGUUCUCACAUGAUGUAGAUGUUAUAACAGUAUAGGUUCCACAGAUGUUUAGAUGUUAUAACAGUAUAAAGGUUCUCUACAGAUGUUUUAGAUGUUUGUAACAGUAUAAAGGUUUUCACAGAUGUUAGAUGUAUAUAACAGUAUAAAGUUCUCUCAAUGUUUAGGAUGUUUAUAACAGUUAAUAAGGUUCUCCACAGAUGGUUUAGAUGUUUGUUAACAGAUGAAGGUGUCACAGAUUGUUUAGAUGUUUAUAACAGUAUAAGGUCUCAACAGAUGUUUUAGAUGUUUAUACAGUAUUAAGCGUUCCACAGAUGUUUUAGAUGUGUGUAUAGACAGUAUAAAUGUUCUCAACAGAUGUACGAUGUUUUAUAAGCAGUAAAGGUUCUACAGAUGUUUUAGAUGUUUAUAACAGUAUUAAGGUUCUCUCAGUGUUUUAGAUGUUGUAUACAGUAUAAGUUCUCACAGAAUGU
rnacentral:lncRNA from 1 species